rnacentral:rRNA from 1 species
GACGGAGGGGGCUAGCGUUGUUCGGAAUUACUGGGCGUAAAGAGUGCGUAGGUGGUUUAGUAAGUUGGAAGUGAAAGCCCGGGGCUUAACCUCGGAAUAGCUUUCAAAACUACUAAUCUAGAGUGUAGUAGGGGAUGAUGGAAUUCCUAGUGUAGAGGUGAAAUUCUUAGAUAUUAGGAGGAACACCGGUGGCGAAGGCGGUCAUCUGGGCUACAACUGACACUGAUGCACGAAAGCGUGGGGAGCAAACAGG